rnacentral:rRNA from 1 species
AUCUGAGAAAAAAGAGAAAAGGAUGAAUCUUGAGGAAGAGCUUGGUGAAGAACAAGGUUCGAGGAUGUAAAUCUAUCUGAUAUGUUGUUGAUGGGGAUUAAGAUUAUUGUAUUGACAUAUCUGAAAGUAUUCUACUGACAUAUCUGAGAAUUUUAAUGAUCUACCAGCAACUAGGUGUUAAGCUUCAGGCUGGGUGCAUGUUUCUUUUUGUCGGAAACAAAACAGUGCAGGCUCGUGCACCUGUUUUCCUUUUCCCCUUCGAUGGGGUCGUUCAGUUGAGGUGAAGCAAGCAAGCACCUCCCCGUGCCUUGCAUACCAAGGAGAGAGCGAGCCAUUGCAGAGGAGAGGGGAUACGAGGGUGGGCAGAGGUCAGGCAUUGCUAACAGAUUUGCGGCGGAGUGGGAAGCCGGCGCCUCAUCACUGGCUCCUGUUUGGCAUCGGCAAAGAGAAAGCUGCCGAGGAUGUGUUGCUCUAUGCACUGCUGUCGAAGUACAUCCUUGCUAUGAUGUAUUUUUCAGUGGCUUUCUCCAUUAGAAUGUUUCUCGUCAACGACCAUAUCAACCUGUCUGGUGUUCGCACAUGUCAUUUUGGUUGAGUUUACUGCCAUUCCGCCUCUUCCUCGUGAUGGUAUAGGAGUACACACUAAUUCGAUAAAUAAGAGGCGAAGUUGCCAACGCCUGAGAUAGUGGUUCCUACCUCUGGCCUUCGCACCUUUAGUUCCGCAAGUAGUUCAGCAACUCAAAUGAGCUCGAGGCAGAGAUGGCGGAGCUCGGGCGAGCUCGAGACUAUGGAUCCAGGGCUUGAGUGCUCACGGGAUGGAGGCAGGGAAGGGCGCCCUACGGGAAGUGAUUUAUGUGCUCCUUGAUCUGGCUUUUUAUAACUGAUGACAUCUUACAUUGUUGUCUUUUACCGAUUAACUGGUUAACUCUUUUCCUAAAUGGUCUUAGAUUUCUGCUUUCUAUUUGCGCCAGUUUCUUUUUACAAGAGAUGAGAUCUUACACAAUAUAUUUUUGCCUUGGUUGAUCUAAUUAAGAUUUUCCUUCAGCGCGUGCAUAUGAUGUGAAUAUAAAGCUAUUUGGAAGAACAUAUCCAUGGGCGAAAAAAUAUUAUCAUGUAUUUUGUCUGUCAUUUUGCUUGUGUUGAUGUAAUUUAUUGAGCUUUUUCACACGUCAUGAUAUUAUGCCUUAAUUUCUACUAGGCUGCUUUUACAUUUAAAAUUCAUUGUACAAACAUUAUUUACCUAAUUUAUGGAAACAAUAAAUUUGUAGCUUAGGUCAACUAGGAGAUGAUGUAAACCAAGUCACUCACCAGUUUAAGAUGGUAUGUUCUGAACUUUCAUUGCUUUAUGAAUGGACAAACGAUGUUAGAUAUGCAUGCUACUACAGUUUAGCCAUUUUUCAGUUUUCUACAUGAGCCACAGUGCCGAAGCCUUUGGACAGGCACUUUGUGGUAGAAUGUGUCAAACAUAGGUCUGUUUGCUAGAAUAUGUGUUGUGCCGAUGCUGCAACUAGCAUACGCAAAAUCACUUUGCUAUAUAUUUUUCAUAAUGCUACAUUCCAUCAAUUAACUGACUUCUUAUUGUUUUGAAUCUACUUACAUAGGUGUUUACAGAUUUACUUUGUUCCAGCGCCUACUUUGGAUCAUAGGAAACUAAAAAAGAGAGGGCGCCGCCACCACCGUCAUCAGGCUGGUCCACAUCCACGCGCUGCUCGGCGUCACUAGGUCACCGGCACAACUCCUCACACCUAGGUCGUUCAACAUUUUCUUCCGCUUUUGGUGCGUCACAUUUAGAGUCUUUCUUUCUCAUUUUACCGUGUUUGCAUGGUAAGAUGUUUGGUCGGAUUUGAAGGUUUGUAACCUUGGCUCCAAAGCUUCAAGCUCUUAUAGAAAUUAGAACCGAUGACCUUUUAAAAUGAGUCCUGCAUAAUAGUGUUGUUCAGUGGGAUGCAGAAUUUUUGUUCGUCUGAUCGGCUAUCCUUGAUGCUGAUUAAAGUACUGAUUUCAUCAUCAUAUGACUACAAUAAAUAAGUUGUGUGUAUAAAUAUUACUAACUGCUGAUAUUUUGCAUCAGUGAUUUCAAUUCGGUUGGCC